AGGGCUUCAGAAAACAGAGGCGAUGAAGAGAGGACACAAACAGACCUCACUAUCGUCGACACUACGACUUCUUCACUGUGAAGCCAAUUACCUCUCGAUGGUACGGUUGAAAUACUAAAAAGACUGCCGGUGAAAUCUCUUUCGAAGGUCCUAUGCAUUUCGAAGCUAUGGUCAUCAAUUAUUAGUAGACAUAGAGACAUCAUAGAAUCGAUUGUGAGUCGUUCUUUGGCUCAGUCUCCA
rnacentral:lncRNA from 1 species